ACUUUUUACAACUUUAUAAUGGUGCUUGAAAGUUCAAUUAAAAUCAUUUUCCCAUCCUGGAAUUACACUAGUCAUCACAAUAUUGCAUUAUUUCUCACUGCAUGUGAUUUAUGAUUCUACAGUGCCCAUUAUAUCUUCCAAACCAAUGAUUAUUUUCUCAGUGAAUGAGGCUGCGUCCACGGCGUAUGGAGGUUCCCAGGCUAGAGGUCAAAUCAGAGCUGUAGCUGCUGGCCUACCCCACAGUCACAGAAACACUGGAUCCAAGCUGUGUCUGUGACUAUACCACAGUUCAUGGCAACGCUGGAUGCUUAGACAACCGAGAAAGGCCAGGGAUGGAAUCUGAGUCCUCACAGAUGCUAGGUAGAUUUGUUUCUGCUGAGCUAUGAUGGGAACUCCCCAAAAUAUUUUUAGGUAAACAAAAAGCAUGGGUUCCUGUUCAUUAACAUCAUUAAUCAGGAUGUGAAUUUGUCAGCUCCAUGUGCUAGAGCUCCUCUGAGUCUCUAAAAUUUUUUUCUUCUUUUUAAAUAUUUGACUAAUCUGUUAUAUUUCUCCUGGGGAAAAUAUUUGAAAACUCAUUUUACUUAAGUAGCAAUAAUAAUACAUCAAGAGUUAAAUUCAUCUUUAAAAAGGCUUCCUGUGACUACUUAGUGUUUGGCAGUAAUAGUGGAAACAAAGUUUAGAACAGAGAUGAUUUAUUUUGGGGAUUCUGACUAAGUGACAAACCUACCAGCUGAUGCACUUAAAUAUGUGCAAUUAUAUUCAGUUUUUAAAAAUGCAGAAUGGAUCACUCGACUGUGUACCCCAUUGAGGAAAGAAGUUAAAAAAAUGUAUUCACAGCUUCUGGCAUAAGAGAAGGUGUAGAGUAAACACAGACUGAUCAUACAUUCUUUGAAGAAUAGUUUUUUGGGUUAAUAGCAAGAGAGACUGUAAAACUUGUUUAAUUUUCAAUAUUGGUAAAGUGAAUAAAGGAAGAGUGAAAAAGGAAUUUCUAUUAAAAAGGACACCAUCUGUCAAUGUUAUUUUCCAUUAAGAAUAAUAAAGCCUUCAUAGGAGAUUUUAUAAGGAUUUGGGGUGAAGAAUAGUUGAGCAACCAUAAUGGUUAAAUGCAAGGGAACUGGUGUUUGAGCAAAUUUGUAAAAUACAGGAAGGGAAAAGACAAUGUGCCUUUUAAUGUGAAGAUUUACGUAGGAAGUCUUUUCCGAUUUGAAGUGUAGAUCAAAGGUUCAAGGAAGAAAGAAAUCAGCAAAUGCUCUAAGACCCUACUAAUGCUCUGUGUGUGAAUCUUGACAGCACAUGUCCGCAUGAGCUAUUUUUCAUCUUUUCUUCAGUAUAACCUGGCCCAGUGGCUACGAGCUCUGUUAAAAUGAAGGCAGAACUCAGGACCCAGAGCCCAGGGGCAGUGGGAGGAAAUGUAGGACCAGAGAGGGGCUAUAGAUGGACAGCUAGAGGGGGAAUGGAUGGAGGGAACUCAUGGAGGAGAAGAUGCAUUCCUCUGUGUUCACCAUGUGUCUACCUCAGUCAGAAAGGAGUGGCUAGAGAGAAUAAAGCCAAGUCUACAAUGUCAAAAAACA
rnacentral:lncRNA from 1 species